UUAAGCGACUAAGCGUACACGGUGGAUGCCCUGGCAGUCAGAGGCGAUGAAGGACGUGCUAAUCUGCGAAAAGCGUCGGUAAGGUGAUAUGAACCGUUAUAGCCGGCGAUGUCCGAAUGGGGAAACCCAGUGCAAUUCGUUGCACUAUCGUUAACUGAAUACAUAGGUUAACGAGGCGAACCGGGGGAACUGAAACAUCUAAGUACCCCGAGGAAAAGAAAUCAACCGAGAUUCCCCCAGUAGCGGCGAGCGAACGGGGAGCAGCCCAGAGUCUGAAUCAGCUUGUGUGUUAGUGGAACGGUCUGGAAAGUCCGACGGUACAGGGUGAUAGUCCCGUACACCAAAAUGCACAGGCUGUGAACUCGAAGAGUAGGGCGGGACACGUGGUAUCCUGUCUGAAUAUGGGGGGACCAUCCUCCAAGGCUAAAUACUCCUGACUGACCGAUAGUGAACCAGUACCGUGAGGGAAAGGCGAAAAGAACCCCGGCGAGGGGAGUGAAAAAGAACCUGAAACCGUGUACGUACAAGCAGUGGGAGCACCUUCGGGUGUGACUGCGUACCUUUUGUAUAAUGGGUCAGCGACUUAUAUUCUGUAGCAAGGUUAACCGUAUAGGGGAGCCGCAGGGAAACCGAGUCUUAACUGGGCGUUAAGUUGCAGGGUAUAGACCCGAAACCCGGUGAUCUAGCCAUGGGCAGGUUGAAGGUUGGGUAACACUAACUGGAGGACCGAACCGACUAAUGUUGAAAAAUUAGCGGAUGACUUGUGGCUGGGGGUGAAAGGCCAAUCAAACCGGGAGAUAGCUGGUUCUCCCCGAAAGCUAUUUAGGUAGCGCCUCGUGAAUUCAUCUUCGGGGGUAGAGCACUGUUUCGGCUAGGGGGUCAUCCCGACUUACCAACCCGAUGCAAACUACGAAUACCGAAGAAUGUUAUCACGGGAGACACACGGCGGGUGCUAACGUCCGUCGUGAAGAGGGAAACAACCCAGACCGCCAGCUAAGGUCCCAAAGUCAUGGUUAAGUGGGAAACGAUGUGGGAAGGCACAGACAGCCAGGAUGUUGGCUUAGAAGCAGCCAUCAUUUAAAGAAAGCGUAAUAGCUCACUGGUCGAGUCGGCCUGCGCGGAAGAUGUAACGGGGCUAAACCAUGCACCGAAGCUGCGGCAGCGACACUAUGUGUUGUUGGGUAGGGGAGCGUUCUGUAAGCCUGCGAAGGUGUGCUGUGAGGCAUGCUGGAGGUAUCAGAAGUGCGAAUGCUGACAUAAGUAACGAUAAAGCGGGUGAAAAGCCCGCUCGCCGGAAGACCAAGGGUUCCUGUCCAACGUUAAUCGGGGCAGGGUGAGUCGACCCCUAAGGCGAGGCCGAAAGGCGUAGUCGAUGGGAAACAGGUUAAUAUUCCUGUACUUGGUGUUACUGCGAAGGGGGGACGGAGAAGGCUAUGUUAGCCGGGCGACGGUUGUCCCGGUUUAAGCAUGUAGGCUGGUUAUCCAGGCAAAUCCGGAUAAUCAAGGCUGAGGUGUGAUGACGAGGCACUACGGUGCUGAAGUAACAAAUGCCCUGCUUCCAGGAAAAGCCUCUAAGCAUCAGGUAACAUCAAAUCGUACCCCAAACCGACACAGGUGGUCAGGUAGAGAAUACCAAGGCGCUUGAGAGAACUCGGGUGAAGGAACUAGGCAAAAUGGUGCCGUAACUUCGGGAGAAGGCACGCUGGUGUGUAGGUGAAGUCCCUGCGGAUGGAGCUGAGACCAGUCGAAGAUACCAGCUGGCUGCAACUGUUUAUUAAAAACACAGCACUGUGCAAACACGAAAGUGGACGUAUACGGUGUGACGCCUGCCCGGUGCCGGAAGGUUAAUUGAUGGGGUUAUCCGUAAGGAGAAGCUCUUGAUCGAAGCCCCGGUAAACGGCGGCCGUAACUAUAACGGUCCUAAGGUAGCGAAAUUCCUUGUCGGGUAAGUUCCGACCUGCACGAAUGGCGUAAUGAUGGCCAGGCUGUCUCCACCCGAGACUCAGUGAAAUUGAACUCGCUGUGAAGAUGCAGUGUACCCGCGGCAAGACGGAAAGACCCCGUGAACCUUUACUAUAGCUUGACACUGAACAUUGAGCCUUGAUGUGUAGGAUAGGUGGGAGGCUUUGAAGCGUGGACGCCAGUCUGCGUGGAGCCAACCUUGAAAUACCACCCUUUAAUGUUUGAUGUUCUAACGUUGGCCCCUUACCGGGGUUGCGGACAGUGUCUGGUGGGUAGUUUGACUGGGGCGGUCUCCUCCCAAAGCGUAACGGAGGAGCACGAAGGUUAGCUAAUCCUGGUCGGACAUCAGGAGGUUAGUGCAAUGGCAUAAGCUAGCUUGACUGCGAGCGUGACGGCGCGAGCAGGUGCGAAAGCAGGUCAUAGUGAUCCGGUGGUUCUGAAUGGAAGGGCCAUCGCUCAACGGAUAAAAGGUACUCCGGGGAUAACAGGCUGAUACCGCCCAAGAGUUCAUAUCGACGGCGGUGUUUGGCACCUCGAUGUCGGCUCAUCACAUCCUGGGGCUGAAGUAGGUCCCAAGGGUAUGGCUGUUCGCCAUUUAAAGUGGUACGCGAGCUGGGUUUAGAACGUCGUGAGACAGUUCGGUCCCUAUCUGCCGUGGGCGCUGGAGAAUUGAGGGGGGCUGCUCCUAGUACGAGAGGACCGGAGUGGACGCAUCACUGGUGUUCGGGUUGUCAUGCCAAUGGCACUGCCCGGUAGCUAAAUGCGGAAGAGAUAAGUGCUGAAAGCAUCUAAGCACGAAACUUGCCCCGAGAUGAGUUCUCCCUGAGACUUUAAGUCUCCUGAAGGAACGUUAAAGACGAUGACGUUGAUAGGCCGGGUGUGUAAGCGCAGCGAUGCGUUGAGCUAACCGGUACUAAUGAACCGUGAGGCUUAACCUU
rnacentral:rRNA from 1 species